UACGGGGGGGGCAAGCGUUGUUCGGAAUUACUGGGCGUAAAGGGCUCGUAGGUGGCCAACUAAGUCAGACGUGAAAUCCCUCAGCUUAACUUGGGAAUUGCGCUUGUGACUGGCGUGCUGGAGUGUGGCAGAGGGAGGUGGAAUUCCACGUGUAGUAGUGAAAUGCGUAGAGAUGUGGAGGAACACCGAUGGCGAAGGCAGCCUCCUGGGCCAGCACUGACGCUCAUGCACGAAAGCGUGGGGAGCGAACAGG
rnacentral:rRNA from 1 species